GUUCAAGGGAAGAGGGGCUUACGGUGGAUACCUAGGCAUUCAGAGGCGAAGAAGGGCGUCGUGGCCGACGAAAUGCUCCGGGGAGCUGGGAUUGUGUGAGGAUCCGGAGAUUCCCGAAUGGGGUAACCCCAAUGUACUCGUGGGCUUUUGGCUUGCGAGGGGCAACCUGGCGAACUGAAACAUCUUAGUAGCCAGAGGAAGAGAAAGCAAACGCGAUUCCCCCAGUAGCGGCGAGCGAAGAGGGAACAGCCUAAACCGGUUGAUCCGGGGUUGUGGGAGGGCAGUUAGGGUGUUUCUUCGCUAGACGAAGCGGUUGAGUUCCGCACCGCAGAUGGUGAGAGUCCAGUAGUCAAAAGCGUCGUUUCGCCCUUGUCCCAACCCGAGUAGCAUGGGGCACGUGAAAUCCCGUGUGAAUCUGCGAGGACCACCUCGUAAGGCUAAAUACUCCUGGAUGACCGAUAGCGAACUAGUACCGUGAGGGAAGGGUGAAAAGAACCCUGGAGAGGGAGUGAAAAAGACCAUGAAACCGUAAGCUUACAAGCGGUGGGAGGGGGCUUGAACCCCUGACCGCGUGCCUGUUGAAGAAUGAGCCGGCGACUCAUAGGCGGUGGCACGGCUAAGGCGAUGCACGCCGAAACCGUAGCGAAAGCAAGUCUGACAAGGGCCCAUGUCAUCGUUUAUGGACCCGAACCCGAGUGAUCUAACCAUGGCCAGGGUGAAGCUUUGGUGAGACUGAGUGGAGGCCCGUACCGACCGAUGUUGAAAGAUCGGCGGAUGAGCUGUGGUUAGGGGUGAAAUGCCAAUCGAACUCGGAGCUAGCUGGUUCUCCCCGAAAUGCGUUGAGGCGCAGCGGUGUUCGAGGGUGGGCCAGGGGUAAAGCACUGUUUCGGUGCGGGCUGCGAGAGCGGUACCAAAUCGAGGCAAACUCUGAAUACUGGCCCUGCUUGCCGAACACCAGUGAGACGAAGGGGGAUAAGCUUCUUUGUCGAGAGGGGAACAGCCCAGACCAUCGGCUAAGGCCCCCAAAUGGCCGCUAAGUGGCAAAGGAUGUGGGAGUGCUCAGACAGCCAGGAGGUUUGCCUAGAAGCAGCCACCCUUUAAAGAGUGCGUAAUAGCUCACUGAUCAAGCGCUCCCGCGCCAAAGAUGAACGGGACUCAAGCGGCCUGCCGAGGCCAUGGGAUGUAAAAAGCAUCGGUAGGGGAGCGUUCCGCGGCAGGUUGAAGCGUAAGCGAGAGCAGGCGUGGACGAGGCGGAAGUGAGAAUGUCGGCUUGAGUAACGCAAACACUGGUGAGAAUCCAGUGCCCCGAAAACCCAAGGGUUCCCCUGGAAGGCUCGUCCACGGGGGGUGAGUCAGGGCCUAAGGUGAGGCCGAAGGGCGCAGCCGAUGGACAACAGGCAUACAUUCCUGUACCUCUCCGGGCUGGGGACGAGGGACGGAGCAGGCUCGGUUGGCCGAGGGAUGGUAUCUCGGUUGAAGGGCUCAAGGCGCGAUGGGGGCAGUGAUCCUGGCCCUAGCUAAGGCCCGAGUUAGUAAAGCGUCAAGGCGCUGAAGAAACCUAUGCCAUGCUUCCAAGAAAAGCUCGUACCUCUUCAGGCUCGGAGGGCCUGUACCCGAGACCGACACAGGUGGGUGGGUAGAGAAUACCUAGGGGCGCGAGGCAACCCUCUCUAAGGAACUCGGCAAAAUAGCCUCGUAACUUCGGGAGAAGAGGUGCUCCCCUCUUUGGGGGGAGCCGCAGGGACCAGGCCCAAGCGACUGUUUACCAAAAACACAGGUCUCCGCCAAGUUGAAAAACGAUGUAAGGGGGCUGACGCCUGCCCAGUGCUGGAAGGUUAAGGAAGUUGGUGGCCCCCUCCUUGAGAGGGGGGAAGCUGGCAACCGAAGCCCCAGUCAACGGCGGUCGUAACUAUAACGAUCCUAAGGUAGCGAAAUUCAUUGUCAGGUAAGUUCUGACCCGCACGAAAGGCGUAACGAUUUGGGCGCUGUCUCGGAGAGGGGCUCGGUGAAAUAGACAUGCCUGUGAAGAUGCGGGCUACCUCCACUGGGACAGAAAGACCCUAUGAAGCUUUACUGUUCCCUGGCAUUGGGUCUCGGCCCUCCCUGCGCAGCCUAGGUGGGAGGCACAGAAGCUCUUCUUCCGGGAAGGGCCAAGCCAUCCGUGAGAGACCACCCUGGAAGGGCUAAGAUCCUAAACCGAUGCCCUAUGAUAGGCGUUGGAACCGUGCCAGGCAGACAGUUUCUCUGGGGCAGAGGCCUCCCAAAGAGUAAUGGAGGCGUGCAAAGGUUCCCUCAGGCUGGACGGGAAUCAGUUGUAGAGUGUAAAGGCAGAAGGGAGCUUGACUGCAAGACCAACAAGUCGAGCAGGGACGAAAGUCGGCCUUAGUGAUCCGACGGUGCCGCGUGGAAGGGCCGUCGCUUAUCGGAUAAAAGUUACUCUAGGGAUAACAGGCUGAUCUUCCCCAAGAGUCCACAUCGACGGGAAGGUUUGGCACCUCGAUGUCGGCUUAACACAUCCUGGGGCGGUAGCACGUCCCAAGGGUUGGGCUGUUCGCCCAUCAAAGUGUUACAUGAGCUGGGUUCAGAACGUCGUGAGACAGUUUGGUCCAUAUCUAGUGGAGGCGUGAGAGCAUUGAGGGGCCAUCUCCCUAGUACGAGAGGACCGGGAGGCACGCACCGCUGGUGUGCCAGUUCUCGUGCCAACGGGACACGCUGGGUAGCCAUGUGCGGAACGGAUCACUGCUGAAAGCAUCUAAGUAGGAAGCCUACCCCAAGAUGAGUGCUCGUUAUUAGGCCCCGGUCAGAACAACCGGACUCCAAUCAUAGGAGAACAGAGCUGCCAUGUGGAAGUGCAGCGAUGCAUGCAGCAGAGGCAGGCUAACAGGCCGAUACACUUGAACCA
rfam:Klebsormidium nitens chloroplast DNA, scaffold: kfl01813, whole genome shotgun sequence.